rnacentral:tRNA from 1 species
GGCGCUAUGGCCGAGUGGUUAAGGCGAGAGAUUAGAACAUCUUCUGUUCGUCGAUACAUCUCUUCCGGUUUCCGGGCGCAGGUUCAAAUCCUGCUGGCGUCG